AGUGAACGCUGGCGGUAGGCCUAACACAUGCAAGUCGAACGGCAGCACAGUAAGAGCUUGCUCUUACGGGUGGCGAGUGGCGGACGGGUGAGGAAUACAUCGGAAUCUACUUUUUCGUGGGGGAUAACGUAGGGAAACUUACGCUAAUACCACAUACGACCUACGGGUGAAAGCAGGGGAUCUUCGGACCUUGCGCGAUUGAAUGAGCCGAUGUCGGAUUAGCUAGUUGGCGGGGUAAAGGCCCACCAAGGCGACGAUCCGUAGCUGGUCUGAGAGGAUGAUCAGCCGCACUGGAACUGAGACACGGUCCAGACUCCUACGGGAGGCAGCAGUGGGGAAUAUUGGACAAUGGGCGCAAGCCUGAUCCAGCCAUACCGCGUGGGUGAAGAAGGCCUUCGGGUUGUAAAGCCCUUUUGUUGGGAAAGAAAAGCAGCAGGUUAAUACCCCGCUGUUCUGACGGUACCCAAAGAAUAAGCACCGGCUAACUUCGUG
rnacentral:rRNA from 1 species